UACGUAGGGGGCUAGCGUUGUCCGGAUUUAUUGGGCGUAAAGAGCGUGUAGGCGGCCUUACAGGUCAGCUGUGAAAACUCGAGGCUCAACCUCGAGACGUCGGUUGAAACCGUAUGGCUAGAGUCCGGAAGAGGAGAGUGGAAUUCCCGGUGUAGCGGUGAAAUGCGCAGAUAUCGGGAAGAACACCCGUGGCGAAGGCGGCUCUCUGGGACGGUACUGACGCUGAGACGCGAAAGCGUGGGGAGCGAACAGG
rnacentral:rRNA from 1 species